rnacentral:misc_RNA from 1 species
GAUGAAGAACGUAGCGAAAUGCGAUAAGUAGUGUGAAUUGCAGAAUUCAGUGAAUCAUCGAAUCUUUGAACGCACAUUGCGCCCCUUGGUAUUCCAUGGGGCAUGCCUGUUCGAGCGUCAUUAUAACCCCUCAAGCUCAGCUUGGUGUUGGGGCCUGCUGCACUGGCAGCCCUUAAAAUCAGUGGCGGCGCCACCUGGCUCUAAGCGUAGUAAUUCUUCUCGCUAUGGAGUCCUGGUGGAUGCUUGCCAUCAACCCCCAAUUUUUCUAUGGUUGACCUCGGAUCAGGUAGGGAUACCCGCUGAACUUAAGCAUAUCAAUAAGCGGAGGA